rnacentral:rRNA from 1 species
AGCGAACGCUGGCGGCAGGCCUAACACAUGCAAGUCGAACGGAUCCUUCGGGAUUAGUGGCGGACGGGUGAGUAACACGUGGGAACGUGCCCUUUGGUUCGGAACAACUCAGGGAAACUUGAGCUAAUACCGGAUGUGCCCUUCGGGGGAAAGAUUUAUCGCCAUUGGAGCGGCCCGCGUAGGAUUAGCUAGUUGGUGGGGUAAGGGCCCACCAAGGCUACGAUCCUUAGCUGGUCUGAGAGGAUGAUCAGCAACAUUGGGACUGAGACACGGCCCAAACUCCUACGGGAGGCAGCAGUGGGGAAUCUUGCGCAAUGGGCGAAAGCCUGACGCAGCCAUGCCGCGUGAAUGAUGAAGGUCUUAGGAUUGUAAAAUUCUUUCACCGGGGACGAUAAUGACGGUACCCGGAGAAGAAGCCCCGGCUAACUUCGUGCCAGCCGCCGCAGUAA